AACUGUUAUCGGUUGUCCCUCCCUGUCGGUUGCAAACGUAACCCAGGCUUUCCCUCUUCAAACCUGCAGCUGGUGGAGACACCCUACGGGCUCUGCGUUGUGUCAUGUUGUAUGUGUGAAGGUAGGAUGUGUUCCUUGCAGAAGAGUAAUCAGGCGCAGGGCUGUUAGUCGUGGGGAGACAACAAAGCUUACGGCCAUCAAGUCUCACAGACCGCACACCCCACCACGCGACAUUCUCUCGACCGACUCACUUCAGUCUUCACGGACGCCGCCCCGCCCUCUAGUUUUGGGGGCUUUAAAAGCUUCCUGCCUCUGGGGCCGUCUUUGGAGCAGAAUGCGUUUAUUAGCGCGCUGCGAUAAUAUUGCCAUAAUCCAAGCAUUAAUAAAGGCCGCCCAUCCGUUAGCUCCAUUAUGCCUUUCAAUCGCCGCUGCACUUGGCAAGCUGUCAACAACAUUCAUCAUCUCAGCUCAGCACGUGUCCGGUCAUACAAUGCUAUCGCCGACCCUCCGUCCCGUUCUAAAUUUCAGGUUUCGCUGUUCAUGCCGUGCUACCGACGCUCAACCCGAGCUAACGCCAGCCUUCGAAGAUUUGAUGCUUAAUAAAUGGCUCUCUCCACUCCCUCUCGCGUUCAUCACGCCACUACAUAAAGUUGGUCUUCGCCCCAUCUACACUUCCACUUCUUCACAUACUCACGCCUGGCAAACCUUCACCGUGUCGCGCUGCUAUCAAUUAUCCCCCCUGAUAAUAUAUCCAUAGUCCUCGCUUUUAUCACACUGAUUAUGCUAUCCUCCAUCCGCAGUCCGCUCGCGGGCAUCAGUUUUCACAUGAAGCUACAGAAACCCAGUUAAUCACCUAGCCUCUUCUCGAACUCUGCUGCGAAGCUUCUUUCCAAAGGGAUUGCUAGGCAUAGCUCCUCUAUUUCCGAUAGCGGAGACCGAUCACUCCCAUUACCUAGGCGUCUCAUCACUGCGCUCCGUUCCGGAGUUUUCUCCUACUACACCUAAGCGCUCCUCCGUGCGCUUGCAUCCUAGCCUUCCAUGGAUUUCUUGGGCUGAGUGAGUUCAUGUCUGCAUUGAAAGUAUUCAGUUCGUCAUGAGAUCUAUCUAUAUCUGAUCUAAAAAUUCUUUGCGGACCACUACAAUCCUUUACAUCAAACACAACAAAACAAAAGGUUUGCGUGCUAUUGCACGCAUGGACGGUCCGUUCUGCGCUUUUCACACCAUGCUCAGAUUCACAUGCAAAGACAUCAACUCUGCCACGGAUCCAAAUCUCUGUUUCUCACACCUGAAUGCUUCACCUGGACUGCUAACUGGUUCACUCACCACUUCAGACUCGCGUUAACAGCUUGCGGUCUUCCACCUAGUCACUUUUCGGGCCAUUCUUUUAGAAUAGGCGCCGCAACUUCUGCCGCCGUUCAAGGCGUCCCCACAGCUUCCCUCCUUCAGCUCUGUCGCUGGUCCUCCUCAGCCUUCUAGUCUUACAUCAGACCGGAUCUCUCAACCAUACUCGAAGCUCAAAGUUCCAUUUCUGCAGGUGAGCAUCUCGUCAUAUAUGGUGGUGGAGCGUUUCGCCAUUUCUAACAUCUCAUUCUGCCUAGGAGAUCCGGCCGGACCAUCGGUCCUCAGCCCUCGGCUCGACAGCAGCCAUUCCAUCCUCCACAGGUCACCAAGCGGUCGUGCCUAACAAGUCUAUCAGACUGCAGGCCCCCGCCAACGCGGUUCGCGCCUAACAAGUCUAUCAGACUGCAGGCCCCCGCCAACGCACUUCGCGCCUAACAAGUCUCGCCAGACUGCAGGCCACGACUGACGCCUAUCAGUUCGGCAGACUGCAGGCCCUACCCGACGCCUAUCAAUCCUGUCAGACUGCAGGCCUGACCGACGCCUAUCAGUCUUGUCCGACUGCAGGCCCUGACCGACGCCUAUCAGUCUGGCAGAUUGCAGGCCCCGACCGACGCCUAUCAGUCUCGCCGUGCUGCAGGCCUGACCUACGCCUAUCAGUCUCGUCAGACUGCAGGCCCUGACUGACGCCUAUCAGUUCGGCAGGCUGCAGGCCCUAACCGACACCUAUCAAUCCUGUCAGACUGCAGGCCUGACCGACGCCUAUCAGUCUUGUCCGACUGCAGGCCCUGACCGACGCCUAUCAGUCUGGCAGAUUGCAGGUCCCGACCGACGCCUAUCAGUCUCGCCGUGCUGCAGGCCCGACCUACGCCUAUCAGUCUCGUCAGACUGCAGGCCCUGACUGGCGCCUAUCAGUUCGGCAGGCUGCAGGCUAACCGACACCUAUCAAUCCUGUCAGACUGCAGGCCUGACCGACGCCUAUCAGUCUUGUCCGACUGCAGGCCCUGACCGACGCCUAUCAGUCUGGCAGAUUGCAGGUCCCGACCGACGCCUAUCAGUCUCGCCGUGCUGCAGGCCCUGACCGACGCCUAUCAGUCUUGUCCGACUGCAGGCCCUGACCGACGCCUAUCAGUCUCGUCAGACUGCAGGCCCCGACCUACGCCUAUCAGUCCCGUCAGACUGCAGGCCUCAACCAACGCCUAUCAGUCCCGUCAGACUGCAGGCCUCAACCAACGCCUAUCAGUCCCGUCAGACUGCAGGCCUCAACCAACGCCUAUCAGUCCCGUCAGACUGCAGGCCUCAACCAACGCCUAUCAGUCCCGUCAGACUGCAGGCCUCAACCAACGCCUAUCAGUCCUGUCAGACUGCAGGCCUCAACCAACGCCUAUCAGUCCUGUCAGACUGCAGGCCUCAACCAACGCCUAUCAGUCCUGUCAGACUGCAGGCCUCAACCAACGCCUAUCAGUCCUGUCAGACUGCAGGCCUCAACCAACGCCUAUCAGUCCUGUCAGACUGCAGGCCUCAACCAUCGCCUAUCAGUCCCGUCAGACUGCAGGUCAGUCAGGCCUCGGCCCGGCUCCCUCUUUUGGGGGGAAGACUAUCCGAGCUCGCCGAGCAGACCGCCUGCUCACGGCGAUCCUCGGCUCGGGGUCUUCUGCCGGGUCCGAGCGCCAAAGAAUUGUACCAUUAAAUCUUUUUAACUGCUA